AGUUAUCGUUUAUUUGAUAGUACCUUACUACUUGGAUAACCGUGGUAAUUCUAGAGCUAAUACAUGCUGAAAACCCCGACUUCGGAAGGGGUGUAUUUAUUAGAUAAAAAACCAACGCCCUUCGGGGCUUCUUGGUGAUUCAUAAUAACUUUACGGAUCGCAUGGCCUUGCGCCGGCGACGGUUCAUUCAAAUUUCUGCCCUAUCAACUUUCGAUGGUAAGGUAUUGGCUUACCAUGGUUUCAACGGGUAACGGGGAAUUAGGGUUCGAUUCCGGAGAGGGAGCCUGAGAAACGGCUACCACAUCCAAGGAAGGCAGCAGGCGCGCAAAUUACCCAAUCCCGACACGGGGAGGUAGUGACAAUAAAUACUGAUACAGGGCUCUUUUGGGUCUUGUAAUUGGAAUGAGUACAAUUUAAACCUCUUAACGAGGAACAAUUGGAGGGCAAGUCUGGUGCCAGCAGCCGCGGUAAUUCCAGCUCCAAUAGCGUAUAUUAAAGUUGUUGCAGUUAAAAAGCUCGUAGUUGAAACUUGGGUCUGGCUGGCAGGUCCGCCUCACCGCGUGUACUUGUCCGGCCGGGCCUUCCUUCUGGAGAACCUCAUGCCCUUCACUGGGCGUGUUGGGGACCAGGACUUUUACUUUGAAAAAAUUAGAGUGUUCAAAGCAGGCCUUUGCUCGAAUACGUUAGCAUGGAAUAAUAGAAUAGGACGUGCGUUCCUAUUUUGUUGGUUUCUAGGAACGCCGUAAUGAUUAAUAGGGACAGUCGGGGGCAUCAGUAUUCAAUUGUCAGAGGUGAAAUUCUUGGAUUUAUUGAAGACUAACUACUGCGAAAGCAUUUGCCAAGGAUGUUUUCAUUAAUCAGUGAACGAAAGUUAGGGGAUCGAAGACGAUCAGAUACCGUCGUAGUCUUAACCGUAAACUAUGCCGACUAGGGAUCGGGCGAUGUUCUUUUUCUGACUCGCUCGGCACCUUACGAGAAAUC
rnacentral:rRNA from 1 species